GUUGAUCCUGGCUCACGAUGAACGUUAGCGGUCUGCUUAACACAUGCAAGUCGAACGCAACCUUCGGGUUGAGUGGCGGACGGGUGAGUAACGCGUGAGAAUCUGCCUUGGGGUCGGGGACAACCACUGGAAACGGUGGCUAAUACCGGAUAAGCCUUUGGGUAAAAAAUUUAUUGCCCCAAGAGGAGCUCGCGUCUGAUUAGCUAGUUGGUGAGGUAAAAGCUCACCAAGGCAGCGAUCAGUAGCUGGUCUGAGAGGACGAUCAGCCACACUGGGACUGAGACACGGCCCAGACUCCUACGGGAGGCAGCAGUGGGGAAUUUUCCGCAAUGGGCGAAAGCCUGACGGAGCAAGACCGCGUGAGGGAGGAAGGCUCUUGGGUUGUAAACCUCUUUUCUCAGGGAAGAAGCUCUGACGGUACCUGAGGAAUCAGCCUCGGCUAACUCCGUGCCAGCAGCCGCGGUAAUACGGAGGAGGCAAGCGUUAUCCGGAAUUAUUGGGCGUAAAGCGUCCGCAGGUGGCGAUUCAAGUCUGCUGUCAAAGCACGGGGCUUAACUCCGUUAAGGCAGUGGAAACUGAAUAGCUAGAGUGCCGUAGGGGUAGAGGGAAUUCCCGGUGUAGCGGUGAAAUGCGUAGAGAUCGGGAAGAACAUCGGUGGCGAAAGCGCUCUACUGGACGGCAACUGACACUCAGGGACGAAAGCUAGGGGAGCGAAUGGGAUUAGAUACCCCAGUAGUCCUAGCUGUAAACGAUGGAUACUAGGUGUAGCUUGUAUCGACCCGAGCUGUGCCGAAGCUAACGCGUUAAGUAUCNCCGCCUGGGGGAGUACGCAC
rnacentral:rRNA from 1 species